CGAGACCUCAGGUCAGGCGGGACUACCCGCUGAGUUUAAGCAUAUCAAUAAGCGGAGGAAAAGAAACUAACAAGGAUUCCC
rnacentral:rRNA from 1 species